UAGGUUGAAGCCAGUUGAUUAGGGUUUUUAGCUGUUAACUAAAGUUUCGUGGGUUGAAUUCCCAUCAGCCUAG
rnacentral:tRNA from 1 species